GUGCAGCAGUCGCGAAACCUUCGCAAUGCGGGAAACCGCGACGAGGGGACUCCCAGUGCCUACGCUCAGCGUAGGCUGUUCCCGAGCCUAGAAAGCUCGGGGAGUAAGGGCUGGGUAAGACGGGUGCCAGCCGCCGCGGUAAUACCCGCAGCCCGAGUGGUGGCCACUAUUAUUGGGCCUAAAGCGUCCGUAGCCGGCCCGGUAAAUGCCUGGGUAAAUCGUGAGGCCUAACCUCACGAAUUCCGGGUAGACUGCCGGGCUAGGGACCGGAGGAGGGAGAGGGUACUCCAGGGGGUAGGGGUGAAACCCCUGUAAUCCCUGGAGGACCACCGGUGGCGAAGGCGCUCUCCUAGGACGGGUCCGACGGUGAGGGACGAAAGCCAGGGGAGCGAACCGGAUUAGAUACCCCUGUAGU
rnacentral:rRNA from 1 species